GACAGAGGGUGCAAACGUUGUUCGGAAUUACUGGGCGUAAAGCGCGUGUAGGCGGCCAUCUAAGUCGGGCGUGAAAUCCCACGGCUCAACCGUGGAAGUGCACUCGAAACUGGAUGGCUAGAGUCCUGGAGAGGAAGGUGGAAUGCUUGGUGUAGAGGUGAAAUUCGUAGAUAUCAAGCGGAACACCGGUGGCGAAGGCGGCCUUCUGGACAGUGACUGACGCUGAGACGGCGAAAGCGGUGGGGAGCAAACAGG
rnacentral:rRNA from 1 species